rnacentral:tRNA from 1 species
GCCCCGGUAGCUCAAUGGAUAGAGCACCUGGCUUCGGACCAGGGGGUUGGGGGUUCGAGUCCCUUCCGGGGUACCA